AUGGAUUUCCCUUCACUCUUGGGUCUCACAUGCUCCUGUACAGGCCCAUCCAUGGAGGAUCCAAAUUUCAUGCACACGAGCCAAGCAUUGCAUUGCAUCACAUUCAGCUAUAAAUAGAAGCUCAUUCUCAUUCAAAUGAAAAAAAACCACAAGGAGAUCUGAAAUGCUGCUGGAUUGAAAACCAAACCCUCACCAAAGGAAUUUUCAGUUUUCAUUUUCAAUUUCAAGCUUGAAUUUCAACAUCAUUAGUUGAUCUUCAAGUCUUAAUUCC
rnacentral:lncRNA from 1 species